rnacentral:rRNA from 1 species
UCGUACGAGAAAGUCUCUUCGGAGAUGAGUAAAGUGGCGCACGGGUGAGUAACGCGUGGGUAAUCUGCCCUUAGGUUUGGGAUAACCCCGGGAAACCGGAGCUAAUACCGAAUGAGACCACGAUGACUUCGGUCGAUGUGGGAAAAGGUGGCCUCUUCUUGAAAGCUAUCGCCAAAGGAUGAGCCCGCGUUUGAUUAGCUAGUUGGUGAGGUAAUGGCUCACCAAGGCUACGAUCAAUAGCUGGUCUGAGAGGACGAUCAGCCACACUGGAACUGAGACACGGUCCAGACUCCUACGGGAGGCAGCAGUCAGGAAUAUUGGGCAAUGGGCGAAAGCCUGACCCAGCAACGCCGCGUGAAGGAUGAAGGCCUUCGGGUCGUAAACUUCUGUCGAGAGGGAAGAAUGCGUGCGGGUGAAUAAUCCGUGCGUUUGACGGUACCUCAAAAGGAAGCACCGGCUAACUCCGUGCCAGCAGCCGCGGUAAUACGGAGGGUGCAAGCGUUGUCCGGAUUCAUUGGGCGUAAAGCGAGUGUAGGCGGUUUGACAAGUCGAAUGUGAAAUCCCGGGGCCCAACCCCGGAACUGCAUCCGAUACUGUCUGGCUAGAGUCCCGGAGAGGGUGGCGGAAUUCCCGGUGUAGGGGUGAAAUCCGUAGAUAUCGGGAGGAACACCAGUGGCGAAGGCGGCCACCUGGACGGUGACUGACGCUGAGACUCGAAAGCGUGGGUAGCAAACAGGAUUAGAUACCCUGGUAGUCCACGCUGUAAACGGUGAGUGCUCGUCGUCGUGGGUAUUGACCCCUGCGGUGACCAAGUUAACACAUGAAGCACUCCGCCUGGGAAGUACGGUCGCAAGACUAAAACUCAAAGAAAUUGACGGGGCCCGCACAAGCGGUGGAGCAUGUUGUUUAAUUCGAAGCAACGCGCAGACCCUUACCUG